UGCCGGAAGAUACAUCAUGAAUAUUUGAUUAACAACUUUUAAACCGGAAUGUGCUUGACUUAAUUUCAAACCUAACCGGGCUUAGUCGGAUAAAACAAAUGUGUUUAUUUUCGGGUGCUGGAAGAAGGACUUGUGUCUUGCGCAGCAUAGUCCUUUGACAACAUUUCUAUAUAGAUACAAAAUAGUAUACGCAGAGGUAUCCCGUUUCCUGUAUCCUGCUUCUAUUCGAAACGAACAGAUACUUAAAAUCAUUGUUUACGUUGCAGUCUACUUAGGGUCCCAUUAAAAUUAU
rnacentral:lncRNA from 1 species